UACGUAGGGUGCAAGCGUUUGUCCGGAAUUAUUGGGCGUAAAGAGCUCGUAGGCGGCUUGUCGCGUCGACCGUGAAAACUUGGGGCUCAACCCCAAGCCUGCGGUCGAUACGGGCAGGCUCGAGUUCGGUAGGGGAGACUGGAAUUCCUGGUGUAGCGGUGAAAUGCGCAGAUAUCAGGAGGAACACCGAUGGCGAAGGCAGGUCUCUGGGCCGAUACUGACGCUGAGGAGCGAAAGCGUGGGGAGCGAACAGG
rnacentral:rRNA from 1 species